GCCUGUGGUUCCAACACAUGAUCGUGACCCUUUUUCCUUGGGAUUGCAUCAUCCUUAAGAAAUAAACGAUACGCAAAUCAAAAAGAUUUAUAUGAAGAAAAAAAAAUUUGUGGUGACAUUUCAUCCACCUCCAUUUCCCAUGGUGCACUCCUUCAUUUCUAGAGCCUGGAGGAUGAAGAAAAUAUUAUUGCAGACCUAGACCAAGCCCUUGCUGCUGCAGAAGGUUCCAUUGAGAAAUAGAAUCUCUUCCUCCAGGCAGUCUCAGUCAAGAUGGCUACAUAAAGUUUCACUUAAAGAACACAAUGCACAAUUUAAACAACAUAUACAAUUAAAUAUAUUAGGGCUGCACGAUUAUGACAAAAAUCAUAAUUGUUAAUUAUUCCCUUGAAAUUGUGAUUGCUAUUUAAUAAUUAUGAUUAUCCCAGUUAGCAUUGAAUUAUGUUUAUACAAUUGUUUGAUGCAACUGCAUGCCAUAUUUUUAUAUGAAAAUAAACAAGCUGAAAACACUCUUAACUAAUUGGAUUGGUUUCUUCUAUGAAUUACAAAAAAGUAAAUUAUUAUAAUGUUAUACUACAACUAAAACUAAAACAAUGGAAAAGCCCUUAAGAAAAAAAAACAUAUCUUAAGCAUGGAGAAUAACAUAAGUGGACUUUGAACAAUUAAUUGCCGCUUUGAACAAUUAUGUAAUUUUAGCAUUCAUAAUUGUAAUUGCGAUUAGAAAUUUGAUUAAUUGUGCAGCCCUAAAAUAUAUGAAAGAUCAAUGAUAACAGCAGCAUGAUUCCUUCAGUGCAGCUUGCAGUAGAUGGAAUUGAUUCUAAGUAAAAUUAUGGCUUGCAUAUUAUUCCAUAACCAGAGUGCAUAAAGAGAAAAAACACUUUUUAACACGCUCUGAAUAAACCCUAGGAACAUUCAAAUGAGUAACAGUAGUUGAUAUAGUAAAGAUGUACUUGAUAUAGUAAUAUGAUAUAAGACUAGAGAUGUAAGUAGUUAGUUUUUUUCCUCACAGUGCCUUUGCAACAAAUAAUAACAUACUAAUUAUCCUUCUGUGAUAUAAGCAGGACCAACCAUAUGAUAUAUAGCAUACAAUGAUGAGUAUGUGAACUAGUAUUGAUUCCAAAAACAUAAUAUACACAGUCCUACUUUUUCUUUUGAAACCAGAUCAGAUUUGGUGUAAUUGUGAAGCAAAUCACUGAGCAAUGUGAUUGCUUGACUUGACAACAUAUGACCACAGUAAUAGUUGAAAUGUUUUGCAGAAAUAAUUUCACAGCAAAUAAUUAAAAAGCCAUGUAUUCUAAGGACAUAACCCUCCAUAUGUAUCAUAUCAUUUGUGAUUAUGUGUUUUUACAAUGUCUCUGUGUCACCCGAGUCUGGCCAUAUUCGAAAUGAGUCCGAAAAUAUCCUGUGAUGCUGAAUUCUGGAGUAAUGACUGGAGUAUUCAUUUAAAUAAAAAUAUUAUAUUAUGUUUUAACUGCAGAUGUGGUUCAUACAGAUCAUGUUUUGACUGUGCAAUUAACUAAAAUCACUCAAAACUACAAUGAAACUAACUUAGGAAGAGCACAAAAACUAGUGAAGGAGGCUGCGGGACAAGGUGCAAAAGUUGUAGUCUUAACUGAGUGCUUCAACUCCCCUUAUGGAACUGGGUUCUUUGCUGAGUAUGCUGAGAAGAUCCCCGGAGAGUCCACAAAGGUGUUGUCGGAGGCAGCCAAGGAUUGUGGGGUCUAUUUAGUGGGCGGUUCCAUUCCUGAGGAGGAAAGCUGUAUAACAGCUGCUUAGUUUUUGGACCUGAUGGAAAGUCACUUGUCAAACACAGAAAAGGGUGAAGUUGACAAAAGCUGGGUCAGAGGAGGCUUCUGUAUAUGCUGACAUAGG